AAGAAAGUGACUGCCGCCCCGCACAGGGGCGAAGCUAAUAAACCAAAGCCAAUACAAGUUUCGCAGGAGCGCAAGCGCAUCAAACGGUGUAAACAACAAACACCACACCCGAACGCCAGCGAUCUCUC
rnacentral:sRNA from 1 species